rnacentral:snRNA from 1 species
UUCCCUCAGGAUAGCUGGAG